rnacentral:snRNA from 1 species
UGUUCUGCUGGAUCUUGG